GAUGAACGCUAGCGGCAGGCCUAACACAUGCAAGUCGAGGGGUAGAGGAAGCUUGCUUCCUUGAGACCGGCGCACGGGUGCGUAACGCGUAUGCAAUCUACCUUUUACAGAGGGAUAGCCCAGAGAAAUUUGGAUUAAUACCUCAUAGUAUUUUCGAAUGGCAUCAUUUGAUUAUUAAAGUUCCAACGGUAAAAGAUGAGCAUGCGUCCUAUUAGCUAGAUGGUAAGGUAACGGCUUACCAUGGCAACGAUAGGUAGGGGUCCUAAGAGGGAGAUCCCCCACACUGGUACUGAGACACGGACCAACCUCCUACGGGAGGCAGCAGUGAGGAAUAUUGGACAAUGGGCGCAAGCCUGAUCCAGCCAUGCCGCGUGCAGGAAGACGCAUCUAUGGUGUGUAAACUGCUUUUGUACGGGAAGAAACACUCCCUCGUGAGGGAGCUUGACGGUACCGUAAGAAUAAGGAUCGGCUAACUCCGUGCCAGCAGCCGCCGCAGUAA
rnacentral:rRNA from 1 species